UACAGAGGGUGCAAGCGUUAAUCGGAUUUACUGGGCGUAAAGCGUGCGUAGGCGGUUCGCUAAGUCGGUUGUGAAAUCCCUGGGCUUAACCUGGGAACUGCAGUCGAUACUGGCGGACUAGAGUACGGUAGAGGGUGGCGGAACUCCGGGUGUAGCGGUGAAAUGCGUAGAUAUCCGGAAGAACACCGAUGGCGAAGGCAACCUCCUGGGCCUGUACUGACGCUGAGGAGCGAAAGCCAGGGGAGCAAACGGG
rnacentral:rRNA from 1 species